UACACACGGAUAACAUACCGAAAGGUAUGCUAAUACGGGAUAAUAUAUUUGAGAGGCAUCUCUUAAAUAUCAAAGGUGAGCCAGUACAGGAUGGACCCGCGUCUGAUUAGCUAGUUGGUAAGGUAACGGCUUACCAAGGCGACGGUCAGUAGCCGACCUGAGAGGGUGAUCGGCCACAUUGGAACUGAGACACGGUCCAAACUCCUACGGGAGGCAGCAGUGGGGAAUAUUGCACAAUGGGCGAAAGCCUGAUGCAGCAACGCCGCGUGAGUGAUGAAGGCCUUCGGGUCGUAAAACUCUGUCCUCAAGGAAGAUAAUGACGGUACUUGAGGAGGAAGCCCCGGCUAACUACGUGCCAGCAGCCGCGGUAAUACGUAGGGGGCUAGCGUUAUCCGGAUUUACUGGGCGUAAAGGGUGCGUAGGCGGUCUUUCAAGUCAGGAGUGAAAGGCUACGGCUCAACCGUAGUAAGCUCUUGAAACUGGGAGACUUGAGUGCAGGAGAGGAGAGUGGAAUUCCUAGUGUAGCGGUGAAAUGCGUAGAUAUUAGGAGGAACACCAGUUGCGAAGGCGGCUCUCUGGACUGUAACUGACGCUGAGGCACGAAAGCGUGGGGAGCAAACAGGAUUAGAUACCCUGGUAGUCCACGCUGUAAACGAUGAGUACUAGGUGUCGGGGGUUACCCCCUUCGGUGCCGCAGC
rnacentral:rRNA from 1 species